rnacentral:misc_RNA from 1 species
CAACCCUCAGGCUUUUAGUUGUCUGGUGUUGGGGCAUCUACAGCGUUGUAGGCCCCGAAAAAUAUUGGCGGUGCUCGCUAGCACUCCGGGCGCAGUAGUUUUAUUUCUCGCCUAGGACGUCUGGUAGGCUGCCGGCCGUAAAACUCCCCUAUAUUUAAAA